rnacentral:rRNA from 3 species
GGCGUUAAGUUGCAGGGUAUAGACCCGAAACCCGGUGAUCUAGCCAUGGGCAGGUUGAAGGUUGGGUAACACUAACUGGAGGACCGAACCGACUAAUGUUGAAAAAUUAGCGGAUGACCUGUGGCUGGGGGUGAAAGGCCAAUCAAACCGGGAGAUAGCUGGUUCUCCCCGAAAGCUAUUUAGGUAGCGCCUCGUGAAUUCAUCUCCGGGGGUAGAGCACUGUUUCGGCUAGGGGGCCAUCCCGGCUUACCAACCCGAUGCAAACUGCGAAUACCGGAGAAUGUUAUCACGGGAGACACACGGCGGGUGCUAACGUCCGUCGUGAAGAGGGAAACAACCCAGACCGC